rnacentral:rRNA from 1 species
AUGGUGCUGGAUCUCAAUGUCGAGUCGCCGGCGGACUCCGGCACGUCCAGCUCGUCCGUGCUCAACUCCGCGGACGCCGGCGGCGGCGGCGGCUUCAGGUUCGGCCUGCUCGGGAGCCCCGAUGAUGACGACUGCUCCGGCGAGCCGGCGCCGGUCGGGUCCGGGUUCGUGACGAGGCAGCUCUUCCCCGCGUCGCCGCCCGGUCACGCGGGCGCGCCCGGGAUGAUGACGGGGCAGCUGGCACCGGCGCCGCCGAUGGCCCCCGUGUGGCAGCCGCGGCGCGCCGAGGAGCUCGUGAUGGCGCAGCGGGUGGCGCCCGCGAAGAAGACGCGGCGGGGGCCGAGGUCGCGGAGCUCGCAGUACAGGGGCGUCACCUUCUACCGCAGGACCGGCCGGUGGGAGUCGCACAUCUGGGACUGCGGGAAGCAGGUCUACUUAGGUGGUUUCGACACUGCGCACGCGGCCGCAAGGGCCUACGAUCGCGCGGCGAUCAAGUUCCGGGGGCUGGAGGCCGACAUCAACUUCAAUCUGAGCGAUUAUGAGGAGGAUUUGAAGCAGAUGAGGAACUGGACCAAGGAGGAGUUCGUGCACAUCCUCCGCCGCCAGAGCACGGGGUUCGCCAGGGGGAGCUCCAAGUACCGCGGCGUCACGCUCCACAAGUGCGGCCGCUGGGAGGCAAGGAUGGGCCAGCUGCUCGGCAAGAAGUACAUAUAUCUUGGCCUCUUUGACAGCGAAGUUGAAGCUGCAAGGGCGUACGACAGGGCGGCGAUUCGCUUCAAUGGGAGGGAAGCUGUGACUAACUUUGAGAGCAGCUCCUACAAUGGGGAUGCUCCACCCGACGCCGAAAAUGAGGCAAUUGUUGAUGCUGAUGCUCUUGACUUGGAUCUACGGAUGUCGCAACCUACCGCGCACGAUCCCAAGCGGGACAACAUCAUCGCCGGCCUUCAGUUAACUUUUGAUUCCCCUGAAUCGUCAACCACAAUGCUCUCUUCUCAGCCAAUGAGCUCAUCUUCUUCCCAGUGGCCUGUGCAUCAACAUGGCACGGCAGUAGCACCUCAGCAGCACCAGCGUUUGUACCCAUCUGCUUGUCAUGGCUUCUACCCGAACGUACAGGUGCAGGUGCAGGUGCAGGAGAGGCCCAUGGAGCCAAGGCCCCCUGAGCCGCCGUCGUGCUUCCCCAGCUGGGGGUGGCAAGCGCAAGCCAUGCCGCCGGGCUCCUCCCACUCGCCGUUGCUUUACGCUGCAGCAUCAUCAGGAUUCUCUACCGCCGCCGGCGCGCACCCCGCCCCGCCGCCGCCGCCGUCGUACCCGGAUCACCACCGGUUCUACUUCCCCCGCCCGCCGGACAACUAG